UUGAAUGAAUGAGUCAGAAACGGUGAAAUUUUAGAGAUUUGGAACGAUAAUGGAGAAGUGCAAAAGUCGGAGAACGAUUGCUUUCUUUUUUGGAGGAGAGAUGAACUGUAUCGGAAGAUUAUUAUAAGCCCAAAUAAAUAGGACCGAUAUGAUUAUGUUUGACUGCAGCAUGACGUGGCGGUAUACUACUUCCUGAUUGGCUGAUUUUUUGAUCUGACGUGGACACCCUCUUUGUUGAUCUUAUUCAACUUUUAGUAUUGUAUUGAUAU
rnacentral:lncRNA from 1 species